GACGAACGCUGGCGGCGUGCUUAACACAUGCAAGUCGAACGGAAAGGCCCUGCUUUUGUGGGGUGCUCGAGUGGCGAACGGGUGAGUAACACGUGAGUAACCUGCCCUUGACUUUGGGAUAACUUCAGGAAACUGGGGCUAAUACCGGAUAGGAGCUCCUGCUGCAUGGUGGGGGUUGGAAAGUUUCGGCGGUUGGGGAUGGACUCGCGGCUUAUCAGCUUGUUGGUGGGGUAGUGGCUUACCAAGGCUUUGACGGGUAGCCGGCCUGAGAGGGUGACCGGCCACAUUGGGACUGAGAUACGGCCCAGACUCCUACGGGAGGCAGCAGUGGGGAAUAUUGCACAAUGGGCGGAAGCCUGAUGCAGCAACGCCGCGUGCGGGAUGACGGCCUUCGGGUUGUAAACCGCUUUCGCCUGUGACGAAGCGUGAGUGACGGGAAUGGGUAAAGAAGCACCGGCUAACUACGU
rnacentral:rRNA from 1 species